rnacentral:rRNA from 1 species
GAAGAGGGAAACAACCCAGACCGCCAGCUAAGGUCCCAAAGUCAUGGUUAAGUGGGAAACGAUGUGGGAAGGCCCAGACAGCCAGGAUGUUGGCUUAGAAGCAGCCAUCAUUUAAAGAAAGCGUAAUAGCUCACUGGUCGAGUCGGCCUGCGCGGAAGAUGUAACGGGGCUAAACCAUGCACCGAAGCUGCGGCAGCGACGCUUAUGCGUUGUUGGGUAGGGGAGCGUUCUGUAAGCCUGUGAAGGUGUGCUGUGAGGCAUGCUGGAGGUAUCAGAAGUGCGAAUGCUGACAUAAGUAACGAUAAAGCGGGUGAAAAGCCCGCUCGCCGGAAGACCAAGGGUUCCUGUCCAACGUUAAUCGGGGCAGGGUGAGUCGACCCCUAAGGCGAGGCCGAAAGGCGUAGUCGAUGGGAAACAGGUUAAUAUUCCUGUACUUGGUGUUACUGCGAAGGGGGGACGGAGAAGGCUAUGUUGGCCGGGCGACGGUUGUCCCGGUUUAAGCGUGUAGGCUGGUUUUCCAGGCAAAUCCGGAAAAUCAAGGCUGAGGCGUGAUGACGAGGCACUACGGUGCUGAAGCAACAAAUGCCCUGCUUCCAGGAAAAGCCUCUAAGCAUCAGGUAACAUCAAAUCGUACCCCAAACCGACACAGGUGGUCAGGUAGAGAAUACCAAGGCGCUUGAGAGAACUCGGGUGAAGGAACUAGGCAAAAUGGUGCCGUAACUUCGGGAGAAGGCACGCUGAUAUGUAGGUGAAGUCCCUCGCGGAUGGAGCUGAAAUCAGUCGAAGAUACCAGCUGGCUGCAACUGUUUAUUAAAAACACAGCACUGUGCAAACACGAAAGUGGACGUAUACGGUGUGACGCCUGCCCGGUGCCGGAAGGUUAAUUGAUGGGGUCAGCGCAAGCGAAGCUCUUGAUCGAAGCCCCGGUAAACGGCGGCCGUAACUAUAACGGUCCUAAGGUAGCGAAAUUCCUUGUCGGGUAAGUUCCGACCUGCACGAAUGGCGUAAUGAUGGCCAGGCUGUCUCCACCCGAGACUCAGUGAAAUUGAACUCGCUGUGAAGAUGCAGUGUACCCGCGGCAAGACGGAAAGACCCCGUGAACCUUUACUAUAGCUUGACACUGAACAUUGAGCCUUGAUGUGUAGGAUAGGUGGGAGGCUUAGAAGUGUGGACGCCAGUCUGCAUGGAGCCGACCUUGAAAUACCACCCUUUAAUGUUUGAUGUUCUAACGUUGACCCGUAAUCCGGGUUGCGGACAGUGUCUGGUGGGUAGUUUGACUGGGGCGGUCUCCUCCUAAAGAGUAACGGAGGAGCACGAAGGUUGGCUAAUCCUGGUCGGACAUCAGGAGGUUAGUGCAAUGGCAUAAGCCAGCUUGACUGCGAGCGUGACGGCGCGAGCAGGUGCGAAAGCAGGUCAUAGUGAUCCGGUGGUUCUGAAUGGAAGGGCCAUCGCUCAACGGAUAAAAGGUACUCCGGGGAUAACAGGCUGAUACCGCCCAAGAGUUCAUAUCGACGGCGGUGUUUGGCACCUCGAUGUCGGCUCAUCACAUCCUGGGGCUGAAGUAGGUCCCAAGGGUAUGGCUGUUCGCCAUUUAAAGUGGUACGCGAGCUGGGUUUAGAACGUCGUGAGACAGUUCGGUCCCUAUCUGCCGUGGGCGCUGGAGAACUGAGGGGGGCUGCUCCUAGUACGAGAGGACCGGAGUGGACGCAUCACUGGUGUUCGGGUUGUCAUGCCAAUGGCACUGCCCGGUAGCUAAAUGCGGAAGAGAUAAGUGCUGAAAGCAUCUAAGCACGAAACUUGCC